rfam:Schistosoma margrebowiei strain Zambia genome assembly, scaffold: SMRZ_scaffold0000718
AUACUACUGAAGAGUCUCAUAAUAGGACGAAACGGUCAUCUAGUAU